UAAAGGAAGCGAUUCCGGCUACGGAUGGGCAUGCGGCGCAUUAGCUAGUCGGCGGGGUAACGGCCCACCGAGGCGACGAUGCGUAGGGGUUCUGAGAGGAAGGUCCCCCACACUGGUACUGAGACACGGACCAGACUCCUACGGGAGGCAGCAGUGAGGAAUAUUGGUCAAUGGGCGAGAGCCUGAACCAGCCAAGUCGCGUGAGGGAAGACGGUCCUAUGGAUUGUAAACCUCUUUUGUCGGGGAGCAAAAAGGCCUCGUGAGGCCACAAGUGAGAGUACCCGAAGAAAAAGCAUCGGCUAACUCCGUGCCAGCAGCCGCGGUAAUACGGAGGAUGCGAGCGUUAUCCGGAUUUAUUGGGUUUAAAGGGUGCGUAGGCGGACUGGAAAGUCAGCGGUAAAAUCGAGAGGCUCAACCUCUUUCCGCCGUUGAAACUGUCGGUCUUGAGUGGGCGAGAAGUAUGCGGAAUGCGUGGUGUAGCGGUGAAAUGCAUAGAUAUCACGCAGAACUCCGAUUGCGAAGGCAGCAUACCGGCGCCCGACUGACGCUGAGGCACGAAAGCGUGGGUAUCGAACAGGAUUAGAUACCCUGGUAGUCCACGCAGUAAACGAUGAAUACUAAUUGUCCGGUCAGAAUGAUGACUGG
rnacentral:rRNA from 1 species